UGGCAUGUUUCAUACUCUGGAAUGAAGUGUAGUUGAGGCAGCAUGAUUUUGGAUGCCUCUCUGCUUUAUUUUGGUCUCAUGGGCAUGAACUUCGUACUUAUAUAGAUGUUAGUUUUUUAAUCUAUAUGUAAUGGAUUCACUACGUUGCAUGCCUCUGCUUGAUUUUUGUCACAUGGGCAACAACUUCAUACUUAUAGUGUUAAUUAUGUACUUUGUGGGAGGUUAUAUCUUUUGUCUGGUAAUGGUUAAAUCUGUUGUGUAUGCUUGUCUGGUUAAAUCUGUUGUCUGCUUAUAUGUGUUGUGUUAAUUAAGUAUAUGUAUUGUGUAUCUCUUGUCUAGAUAUAUCUAUUGUGUAUUUCUUCAAAAGUUUCCAGAAAUCCUAAUUAAAACAAAAGAAAACAUCAUCAUCUUCUCCAAUAUGCAUUAUAGGUACAAUAACUCAAAAGUUUUCUAGAAAUCAUAAUUUCUACUAACACCCAUAAGUCAACUUUGCAACCCAAUUUAAACAAAGAAAACAUUGUCUUCUUCUCCAAUGGCAACUAGAGCAAUGACACCAUCAGCAAGGUAGGUGUCAUCAGAAUCAUCAUCGUCUUCUGGUAUGUCCGCAUGAUCUGGUUUAGGCAUUGGUUCAGCAGCUGCCUGUUCAAGUGCAGAAGCAUCACCACUUAACCCUUCCACAUCUGGCCUACUCCAAUUUAUCAAUUCCUCUUGUCGGUCUUCAACAUUCAUAUGUUCGACUCCUAUGACAACUGAGUCCACAUCGGUAUCAUCAACAUUAUUAUCAGUGUCACCUCCUUCAGG
rnacentral:lncRNA from 1 species